rnacentral:rRNA from 1 species
UACGUAGGUGGCAAGCGUUGUCCGGAUUUACUGGGCGUAAAGCGCACGUAGGCGGAUUGUUAAGUCGGGGGUGAAAUCCUGGAGCUCAACUCCAGAACUGCCUUCGAAACUGGCGAUCUUGAGUCCGGGAGAGGUGAGUGGAACUGCGAGUGUAGAGGUGAAAUUCGUAGAUAUUCGCAAGAACACCAGUGGCGAAGGCGGCUCACUGGCCCGGUACUGACGCUGAGGUGCGAAAGCGUGGGGAGCAAACAGG